rnacentral:lncRNA from 1 species
AUGGGAUGGAAAGGGUCAAGCAGAGGCAGCUCUGCCUCUUCUAGUUGUGCCAUCACCUCUGAGAUCACAGAAAUCUGGUUCCAGAACUGCCCAAAGAGUGCAGAUCCCAGAGCUCCAGCACUGCCAGCACACAGCUGUCCUAAGGUUUGCAGAGCAGUGUGGAUGAGGAGGGGGAAGCUUCUUUGUUUUCCCACUUCAUGACUACGCAGCUUUUUAUUUCCUUUUGAGCCAUGGAUGUGUAAUCAGUGACUGUCAUCAUGUGCUCCACAAAAGCUAUCACAGCACCGUUAUCCACCUUCACAACCCUCAUUUGAGAAAUCUGCAAUAACAAUUCCAGUAAUGAAAGGCAUUUGCAUACUGUUAAUGUAAGUCUAAUGCUUACAAGCUCUGCAGAAUAUUAAUCAUCUUGAUUUUCUGAGAGGUCAUAGGGAAAGUAAAUCAAGACAUGAUUUAAUUUAUGGUGAUGAGCCACUUAAAUUGCGUAUGUUUGGAGAGGGGGGAGGCAAAGAGGGAAAUCUGGGUAGGUUUGGAAGAAGCUUUGAAAUGUCCAUACAAACAUUUAAAAACAACUUAGGUAAAUACAAUUA